GACGAACGCUGGCGGCGUGCUUAACACAUGCAAGUCGAACGGAAAGGCCCUGCUUUUGUGGGGUGCUCGAGUGGCGAACGGGUGAGUAACACGUGAGUAACCUGCCCUUGACUUUGGGAUAACUUCAGGAAACUGGGGCUAAUACCGGAUAGGAGCUCCUGCUGCAUGGUGGGGGUUGGAAAGUUUCGGCGGUUGGGGAUGGACUCGCGGCUUAUCAGCUUGUUGGUGGGGUAGUGGCUUACCAAGGCUUUGACGGGUAGCCGGCCUGAGAGGGUGACCGGCCACAUUGGGACUGAGAUACGGCCCAGACUCCUACGGGAGGCAGCAGUGGGGAAUAUUGCACAAUGGGCGGAAGCCUGAUGCAGCAACGCCGCGUGCGGGAUGACGGCCUUCGGGUUGUAAACCGCUUUCGCCUGUGACGAAGCGUGAGUGACGGUAAUGGGUAAAGAAGCACCGGCUAACUACGUGCCAGCAGCCGCGGUGAUACGUAGGGUGCGAGCGUUGUCCGGAUUUAUUGGGCGUAAAGGGCUCGUAGGUGGUUGAUCGCGUCGGAAGUGUAAUCUUGGGGCUUAACCCUGAGCGUGCUUUCGAUACGGGUUGACUUGAGGAAGGUAGGGGAGAAUGGAAUUCCUGGUGGAGCGGUGGAAUGCGCAGAUAUCAGGAGGAACACCAGUGGCGAAGGCGGUUCUCUGGGCCUUUCCUGACGCUGAGGAGCGAAAGCGUGGGGAGCGAACAGGCUUAGAUACCCUGGUAGUCCACGCUGUAAACGGUGGGUACUAGGUGUGGGGUCCAUUCCACGGGUUCCAUGCCGUAGCUAACGCUUUAAGUACCCCGCCUGGGGAGUACGGCCGCAAGGCUAAAACUCAAAGGAAUUGGCGGGGCCCCGCACAAGCGGCGGAGCAUGCGGAUUAAUUCGAUGCAACGCGUAGAACCUUACCUGGGUUUGACAUGGAUCGGGAGUGCUCAGAGAUGGGUGUGCCUCUUUUGGGGUCGGUUCACAGGUGGUGCAUGGCUGUCGUCAGCUCGUGUCGUGAGAUGUUGGGUUAAGUCCCGCAACGAGCGCAACCCUUGUUCACUGUUGCCAGCACGUUAUGGUGGGGACUCAGUGGAGACCGCCGGGGUCAACUCGGAGGAAGGUGGGGAUGACGUCAAGUCAUCAUGCCCCUUAUGUCCAGGGCUUCACGCAUGCUACAAUGGCUGGUACAGAGAGUGGCGAGCCUGUGAGGGUGAGCGAAUCUCGGAAAGCCGGUCUCAGUUCGGAUUGGGGUCUGCAACUCGACCUCAUGAAGUCGGAGUCGCUAGUAAUCGCAGAUCAGCAACGCUGCGGUGAAUACGUUCCCGGG
rnacentral:rRNA from 1 species